AAGAAAGGGCCCAGAUGAACAGGAGCAGAAGAUCCUCUCAAAACUCAGGUCCCACUCAACAAGGAAGUGAUCCCUAGCACAGAAGGCAGUGGGGAAGGCUGGUCUUCCUGAGUCACAAGCAGGGAGAAGUGACUGAGGAUGUGUCUUAGGGGACUCCCACGCCUUCCUUCCAGAAGGGUGGUGCCUGGGAGGACCUGCAGAGGAGCUCCUGCCUCUCUGCUCAGGCCAGUUCUGCAGCACCCUCUGUGGCAGCUGAGAGCAGGCCCUCUGCAGAAGAGAGCCAGGGGCAUGGAGAGUUCAGGCCUCCAGCAGAGGGAGUGCAGAUAUGGGGAAAGCUGACCCCUGGAGUCAGCAGGCCCAGCCCUAGGAGGGGGCAGUCCCACAGCAGGCUCACACCCUGCCCUUCAGAGUUGCAGCAGCUAAUGCUGAUGCCAGGACCUUGUCCUGCCAGGAAGCCUCUGAUUAGGGCUGUGAACCAACUUCCUUUUCACAUCUGCAAGGACACUUGGAGGCAACUGCCCAAGGCCACUCUGAGGAGGGUUGAAUGUUCUUUAUUAAAAGGACUGAGGAUCAUGUGUGUUGGUGGGCCUUGGACUCUGCUCUAAGCUCAAAUUUUGCAGUUUCUGCUGUCAUCACAGCUGGGAAUGAGAAAGGGAAGGGGCUCCAGUUGGUCUCCCUCUGCCUCUGGAGCACACGUGGAGGACAUGAGGCUUCCGCAGGAACAGCUCUGAAAGCUGAGUUCUCGGGUCCCUGUGAAGGAGGGAAGCUUGCCUGCCUUGGAGCGUGAAAAAGUCUUGCUGGACAGAAGUCUCACGGUUUAAAACUGGGAAGGGAGAGGAUUGAGAUCACACUAGAAUGCACAGAAAAUUCUUAAAACAAAAAAAUGAGAGAAACUUCAUCAGAAUGUGAAAAGAACUAUAAAGCUACAGUGCUGAAGAGAGGGCAAUACUGGCACUAGAAUGAGAAGAUUCAUGGAACACAGUGGAAAAUGCAGUAAGAGAGCUGCAUGUAUGUAAUAUUUUAUCAUGUGAUAAAGUGAUAUAUUAAUAUUCACAAGGAAAUAGUCAAUUAUUUAAUAAGUUCUCUUUUUGGUAUUGACUUACUGUAUGGAAACAAAUAUUGUUGCAUUUCUACCUUACUAGUUACAAAUAGUGAUUUAGUUGUAAUAAAAUGAAAAUCAUUAGACUUAAACGAUGAUGAAUUGCAUAGAAGUUCUAGGUGAGAUUGGCCUUUCUAAGCCUGGCAUCAAACUAGACACCCUAGAAAAAUGGACAGAUAUUAUUUUAUUUUUCAAAGUUCAAUUCACCAUAGGUGCCAAAUGUAAAUAAUAACACAUGAGGAGUAAUAUCUUCAACACAUUGGAUAAAGGGUCAGUAUCUCUAAAAUAGUAUAUAUUAAUUCUUACGAACCAAUAAGAAAAAAUUAAUCCUCCAAAAGGAGAAUAGGCAAAGAGUAUCACAAGGCGAUUCUCAAAAGAAGAACUAUAAAUGACCUAUAACGUUGUCAAAUAUUGCUAGUACUCCUAAAGAUGGGGGAAUGCAAAUCAAAUUAACAAAUCUCAUUUUCAGAACCACAGAGCUUGGAUUGCCAUCAUUAUUAAAUUAAAGUAUAUGACUUAGGGAAUGUUAAUUAACCCCCCAAUUUCUUAUGUUACAUUCAACGGUACUUUAAACCCUUAAUGAAGUUUCUGUGUAGAUUAAAUAAAAUGUGCAUGCAAUGUGCUUAGUACAUUAACUACCAGAAUGUCAGCACCCAUAUGUACCAUCAAUAUUAUUAUUAUCAUUAUUCAUUUUUUUGAGACAGAGUCUCACUCUAUUGCCCAAACUGGACUGUAGUAGUGUGAUAUUAGCUCACUGAAACCUUCACCUUCCUGGCUCUAGAAAUUCUCCUGCCUCAGCAUCCAAAGUAGCUGGGAUUACAUGUGUGCGCCACAACAGCCGGCUAAUUUUUUGUAUAUUUAGUAGAGACAGGGUUUCACCAUGUUGGCUGAGCGGGUCCAAAUCUCCCGGCCUAAGUGAUCCUAAUGACUGGACUGGCCAAAUGCUGGGAUUACAUGCAUGAGCCACCGGGCGUGGCCAGUAUUAUUGUUAUUAAUACAGUAAUUAUUGUAUAAAAAUUCCUGAUGGAUCAAUGAUGCCAUCAUUAAAUAAUCAACACAUAAAAACAUUCAAAUAAAUGAUAUGGACGUCUUUAUGCAUACUUAUGAAGUAUGUGCACCUUUAGAAGUAAGACACACAAUCCAGACACAGGAAAAUAUAAGAUUUAUUAAAAUGUAUAAAAACCAAAUAUCAGAAUGAAAAUAUAAAUAUGGCAUUGAAAUAGAAACAAUAC
rnacentral:lncRNA from 1 species